rnacentral:tRNA from 1 species
CGGGGUGUAGCUCAGUUGGCUAGAGUGCAUGGUUUGGGACCAUGAGGCCGGAGGUUCGAGUCCUCUCACCCCGACCA